rnacentral:lncRNA from 1 species
GAAUGGAAUCAACUUACUUCUCAAAGAAGUUAAGUUGUUCCAUGAAAGGGAGUCAAGGAUCAAGUACUCAAGCAUACAAGCAGAACCAUAUGACUCACAAAGAGAAUGGAAUCAACUUACUUCUCAAAGAAGUUAAGUUGUUCCAUGAAAGGGAGUCAAGGAUCAAGUACUCAAGCAUACAAGCAGAACCAUAUGACUCACAAAGUGUUAAUCAAAAGC